rnacentral:misc_RNA from 1 species
UGAGUGAAGUGUUCCAGUCAUGAGUGUUUUGUACUAUAUUUUUGAUAUGGUUGUUUUUGACUGUUAUGAAUUUGUCUGCGAGCAUGUGUGAAAAUAAUAGAAAUUGGUGUGCAAUAUCAUUUGAUGUCAAAUAUUACUUGGAUCUUGAUUAUGAAGUGUGAUUUCAGUUUUCAAACAUAUGACCAGUGCUUUUGAAGGUUUUAUCAACCAAGUCAAAAUCAUUCGAAUAAGAUCUCACCGAGUGACCAGCCCAGUGUUUCAUCAUGUAUGAUUUGUUAUAUAUAGAAAUCAACAUUCUGUGUUCAUUCUUGAGAAACAAAUUGUACAUACUUUUGAACAGCAUGUUGUUGAAAAAUGUGACAUUAUUUGAAUUCAGCAUUCAUAUAAUAUAAACAUUGUUUUGU